AUUCUAGCAGCUUUUCAACAGCAAGAAAGGGAAUCAGCUUCCCCUGUUUUCAGCAUUGGGUUAAUGCAGGCAAUUCAGGGAGGCAUAAAGUUUUGCUUAUACAAUCGUCUUAAAGUCUUGCUUAUACAAGAAUAUUGCUAGGAGCAGGAACCGCUAAUGCGCAAUCACGAGCAAUACACACACAUCCGUUUUUCAGAAGCUGACGUUAAUCACGGGUAGCGCGAGGGUCUCUGCGUUGACAUGACGACUCCGCUGCAGCCGAAUUCCGAAUACUGCAUAUUCGAUGACAACAGCUAUAGGGGCUUGUUGAUAGGUCCUCUUGUAAUUUGUUUAACCGCAGGUAGAACGACACAGGCAUAAAACACACACGAGACAGCACACAACGCUGAACGACCACCUGCGAACAGCUGUUUACGUCCGCCAUUUCUCCUCGUAUUGAACUUCACAAACCGCUGUUGCGCACUCCAAAACAAAGUAAACUUUGAAGCGUUUUUAAAUUACAAAACGCAUGUAUUAUUUGGUCCUAAUAAAGAGAGGUCAAUUAUAUUAUAACGCGCACGUCUUUUUCAUUACAUUAAACGAAUUUAUGCGGCGUGUGCGACAAAAUCUGGCAGCAAGCAACUCUGGGCGUCGCAUAAUCGCAUUGUUGACAUCGCACCAUGUGAAAUGGCCGUUGCGAAUUUCGCACCUGCGAAAAUCGCAGUGCAAAAUCGCACCAUGUGAAACAGCCUUCAUUCCGGUUUGCUGGCAUGAUGCCACUCGUGUGCUUUGGUAAUAGCGGCUGUAACAGCCUUGGGUGUUCUGAUGUCUACUGGUGGUGUCACUGGAAUUCCCAAAUUUCCUGCAAGAAAAUUGCAAAUAAAAGGAUUCUCAUUGUGCUGUGAGUAUUCGAACUUGCAACCGAAAGAUUGGCAGUCCAUAAUUCUACAUCUAAGCCACUCUGCUGAAGCUACAGCCGUGGUCAAUAAUGAUCCUGGAGAGUGCGAUCCAACAGGUGCCAUGAUUAGCUAACACCUGUUCAAUAUUUGUGUACUGUAUAUAGAGCUGGCGUUCACGCCUUCAGGUUGUGGCACGUCACCGUCCCACUUGUGGAGGCAGUCCUAUGUUAAAUUUUCUUCUUGCACGUAAUGACAAUGAUCGGAUGAGUCUGCUUAGUCUUCAUUAUUCUUUUUCCAGUGCUUGGCUUCUCAUGCUUACUGUAUGGGACUGCUGAUGUCUUGUUUUCCCCAAGGACAGAGUGAGGCCUAUUUAUGCGGUAGCCCAAAUAUAGAUUUGAGAAAACCAAAACGAAUUCAGCAUUAACAACAUAAAGGGUUGUUUUGGUAGAGACCAGUGGCCAAGUCUGGAUGUGAAAGAGGAGCAUUUCUUGCUCCUCUUUCACAUCCAGACUUGGCCACUGAUCCCAGUGAUGAAGUGGAAAGACUCGGCUUUUCUAGCCGAGUCUUCCCACUUCAUCACUGGGAGGCAUAACGUCCACAAACAAAUAUGACUCGCACUUAUUUUACGUCUCAAAAGGAGAUUACUCACUUGCAUAGGCAAGUGUUCACUCCAACAGACACCGCAUCAAUCAGGCUUACUGUGCAUUACAUUUCACCAGCUAUUACGAGCAAAACUGCAAUUUUCUUUAUGCCACAACUUGCCCAAUUCUGUGUUUUGCAAUAGCAUGUUUGCAGCAGUGCUAUGCUAUUAAGGUGCUUAAAUACUUGUGAAUAGUAGUAGAGAACAAAAAAGAAAGUAAGAAAGCAGUGGCUUUUCGUGUGCAAACUAUGCAUACACCUGCUGUUGCAAUGGCCAUUUUUCCCUGUCUGCUAAACCAUUUUAAACAAGAGAAGCAUAUACACAAUUAUU